UAUUAUAUUCGCAAAUUUUUGGUCCUGUGAUACUAGCUGAUAUCAUGAUAGUAUCAAACCAUAAUAUCAGCUCAUGUGUGAUAUCACAUGAAUCAUGAUACCAGGUGUAAUUUCUAGAUAUUUUUUUGUCCCUGUUGUGUGGGUUUAUAAUGAAUAAUGCAUGCAUCCAAUUUAG